ACGCUCGACACUACGGAGGGCAGCAGUGGGGAAUAUUGCACAAUGGGGGAAACCCUGAUGCAGCGACGCCGCGUGGAGGAAGAAGGUCUUCGGAUUGUAAACUCCUGUUGUUGGGGAAAAAGAGGAUGGUACCCAACAAGGAAGUGACGGCUAACUACGUGCUAGCAGCCGCGGUAAUCUGAGCGGGCUGGCAAGGC
rnacentral:rRNA from 1 species